rnacentral:misc_RNA from 1 species
UCGUAACAAGGUUUCCGUAGGUGAACCUGCGGAAGGAUCAUUACUGAAAUGUAAUAACUUCUAUUGAAAGGUUCCAGAGUAGGCGCUACAACGCCGAAAUGACCUUCUCACCCUUGUGUACUCACUAUGUUGCUUUGGCGGGUCGACCUGGUUCCGACCCAGGCGGCCGGCGCCCCCAGCCUUAACUGGCCAGGACGCCCGGCUAAGUGCCCGCCAGUAUACAAAACUCAAGAAUUCAUUUUGUGAAGUCCUGAUAUAUCAUUUAAUUGAUUAAAACUUUCAACAACGGAUCUCUUGGUUCUGGCAUCGAUGAAGAACGCAGCGAAAUGCGAUAAGUAAUGUGAAUUGCAGAAUUCAGUGAAUCAUCGAAUCUUUGAACGCACAUUGCGCCCUCUGGUAUUCCGGAGGGCAUGCCUGUUCGAGCGUCAUUUCAACCCUCAAGCUCUGCUUGGUAUUGGGCAACGUCCGCUGCCGGACGUGCCUUGAAGACCUCGGCGACGGCGUCCUAGCCUCGAGCGUAGUAGUAAAAUAUCUCGCUUUGGAGUGCUGGGCGACGGCCGCCGGACAAUCGACCUUCGGUCUAUUUUUCCAAGGUUGACCUCGGAUCAGGUAGGGAUACCCGCUGAACUUAAGCAUAUCAAUA